rnacentral:tRNA from 5 species
GCGGGUGUAGUUCAAUGGUAGAACUUCAGCUUCCCAAGCUGAUAGCGUGGGUUCGAUUCCCAUCACCCGCUCAA